rnacentral:tRNA from 1 species
UUUAGCUCAGCAGGAUAGAGCAACUGCCUUCUAAGCAGUAGGUCGGGGGUUCGAAUCCCUCAA